rnacentral:rRNA from 1 species
AUUGAACGCUGGCGGCAUGCCUUACACAUGCAAGUCGAACGGUAACAGGUCUUCGGAUGCUGACGAGUGGCGAACGGGUGAGUAAUACAUCGGAACGUGCCCGAUCGUGGGGGAUAACGAAGCGAAAGCUUUGCUAAUACCGCAUAAGAUCUACGGAUGAAAGCAGGGGACCGCAAGGCCUUGCGCGAACGGAGCGGCCGAUGGCAGAUUAGGUAGUUGGUGGGAUAAAAGCUUACCAAGCCGACGAUCUGUAGCUGGUCUGAGAGGACGACCAGCCACACUGGGACUGAGACACGGCCCAGACUCCUACGGGGGGCAGCAGUGGGGAAUUUUGGACAAUGGGCGAAAGCCUGAUCCAGCCAUGCCGCGUGCAGGAUGAAGGCCUUCGGGUUGUAAACUGCUUUUGUACGGAACGAAAAGACUCUUUCUAAUAAAGAGGGUCCAUGACGGUACCGUAAGAAUAAGCACCGGCUAACUACGUGCCAGCCGCCGCUGUAA